rnacentral:rRNA from 1 species
GAAGGCAGCAGUGGGGAAUAUUGCACAAUGGGCGCAAGCCUGAUGCAGCUAUGUCGCGUGUAUGAAGAAGACCUUAGGGUUGUAAAGUACUUUCAAUAGCAUAAGAAGGUAAUGAAACUAAUAAUUUUGUUAUCAGACGUUAGCUAUAAAAGAAGCACCGGCUAACUCCGUGCCAGCAGCCGCGGUAAUACGGAGGGUGCUAGCGUUAAUCGGAAUUACUGGGCGUAAAGAGCACUUAGGUGGUUUAUUAAGUCAAGUGUGAAAUCCCUAGACUUAAUCUAGGAACUGCAUUUGAAACUAAUAGACUAGAGUUUCGUAGAGGGAGGUAGAAUUCUAGGUGUAGCGGUGAAAUGCAUAGAUAUCUAGAGGAAUAUCAGUGGCGAAGGCGACCUCCUGGACGAUAACUGACGCUAAAAUGCGAAAGCAUGGGUAGCAAACAGGAUUAGAUACCCUGGUAGUCCAUGCUGUAAACGAUGUCGACUAAGAAGUUGAAAGCUUUGACUUAUAAUUUCUGUAGCUAACGCGUUAAGUCGACCGCCUGGGGAGUACGGCCGCAAGGCUAAAACUCAAAUGAAUUGACGGGGGCCUGCACAAGCGGUGGAGCAUGUGGUUUAAUUCGAUGCAACGCGUAAAACCUUACCUGGUCUUGACAUCCACAGAAUUUUAUAGAAAUAUAAAAGUGCAAUUUGAACUGUGAGACAGGUGCUGCAUGGCUGUCGUCAGCUCGUGUUGUGAAAUGUUGGGUUAAGUCCCGCAACGAGCGCAACCCUUGUUUUUUGUUACCAUCAGAUAAAGCUGGGGACUCAAAAGAAACUGCCAGUUAUAAACUGGAGGAAGGUGGGGACGACGUCAAGUCAUCAUGGCCCUUACGACCAGGGCUACACACGUGCUACAAUGGCGUAUACAAAGAGAUGCAAUAUUGUAAAAUAAAGCUAAUCUAUAAAAUACGUCUUAGUUCGGACUGGAGUCUGCAACUCGACUCCACGAAGUCGGAAUCGCUAGUAAUCGUGGAUCAGCAUGCCACGGUGAAUAUGUUUCCAGGCCUUGUACACACCGCCCGUCACACCAUGGAAGUGGGUUGCAAAAGAAGUAGAUUAAUUUAACCUUCUUAACAAGAAAAUAGUUUACCACUUUGUGAUUCAUGA